UACGUAGGGUGCAAGCGUUAAUCGGAAUUACUGGGCGUAAAGCGUGCGCAGGCGGUUGUGCAAGACAGAUGUGAAAUCCCCGGGCUUAACCUGGGAAUGGCAUUUGUGACUGCACGGCUAGAGUGUGUCAGAGGGGGGUAGAAUUCCACGUGUAGCAGUGAAAUGCGUAGAUAUGUGGAGGAAUACCGAUGGCGAAGGCAGCCCCCCUGGGAUAACACUGACGCUCAUGCACGAAAGCGUGGGGGAGCAAACAGG
rnacentral:rRNA from 1 species